rnacentral:rRNA from 2 species
GGUUAAGCGACUAAGCGUACACGGUGGAUGCCCUGGCAGUCAGAGGCGAUGAAGGACGUGCUAAUCUGCGAUAAGCGUCGGUAAGGUGAUAUGAACCGUUAUAACCGGCGAUUUCCGAAUGGGGAAACCCAGUGUGUUUCGACACACUAUCAUUAACUGAAUCCAUAGGUUAAUGAGGCGAACCGGGGGAA